rnacentral:rRNA from 1 species
CAGUCGCCGCGGUAAUACAGAGGGUGCGAGCGUUAAUCGGAUUUACUGGGCGUAAAGCGUGCGUAGGCGGCUAAUUGAGUCGGAUGUGAAAUCCCCGAGCUUAACUUGGGAAUUGCAUUCGAUACUGGUUAGCUAGAGUGUGGGAGAGGAUGGUAGAAUUCCAGGUGUAGCGGUGAAAUGCGCAGAGAUCUGGAGGAAUACCGAUGGCGAAGGCAGCCAUCUGGCCUAACACUGACGCUGAGGUACGAAAGCAUGGGGAGCAAACAGGAUUAGAUACCCCAGUAGUCCCUGUCUCUUAUAC